GACGAACGCUGGCGGCGUGCCUAAUACAUGCAAGUAGAACGCUGAAGGAGGAGCUUGCUUCUCUGGAUGAGUUGCGAACGGGUGAGUAACGCGUAGGUAACCUGCCUGGUAGCGGGGGAUAACUAUUGGAAACGAUAGCUAAUACCGCAUAAUAGUAGAUGUUGCAUGACAUUUGCUUAAAAGGUGCAAUUGCAUCACUACCAGAUGGACCUGCGUUGUAUUAGCUAGUUGGUGGGGUAACGGCUCACCAAGGCGACGAUACAUAGCCGACCUGAGAGGGUGAUCGGCCACACUGGGACUGAGACACGGCCCAGACUCCUACGGGAGGCAGCAGUCGGGAAUCUUCGGCAAUGGACGGAAGUCUGACCGAGCAACGCCGCGUGAGUGAAGAAGGUUUUCGGAUCGUAAAGCUCUGUUGUAAGAGAAGAACGAGUGUGAGAGUGGAAAGUUCACACUGUGACGGUAUCUUACCAGAAAGGGACGGCUAACUACGU
rnacentral:rRNA from 1 species